rnacentral:rRNA from 2 species
CAGGACACAUGAACAUCGACAUUUUGAACGCAUAUUGCGGUCCAUACUGACUAGUUUCUUAACCGAAGCUGUAUGGACCACACAUGGUUGAGGGUCGUUAGUUUAUGCUAACUGAAUUGCUUUUUUUUAAUUAAAAGAGCUACAUCCUGAGGUGUUGUCAUCCUUAAGUGUGUUGACAUCCCUUGAAAAUAUCAGACCUUGUGUCUGGUACACAAUUGAAAUAUAUGUUUUGAUUGUGUUGCAAAUGCUUGUUCUAAUCAAAGGAAACAAUAAUUACCAUAUCUAAUAUGUUUUUAUAUGUCAUACCUUGAGGUGUAGUAAACUUUGAUUAAGCGUUUAAACCUGAGGGUUUGCGCAUUUUUAUUGUUGAACCACUUCAUACGUAUAACGGCUAUAAAUAUUAUAUUAUGUUUUUUAAUUAUAUAAGAGUACUUUGUUGCGGAAUGUUCCCAUACACUUUGAAAGCGGGUGGCAUUUGUAUACAUUUAAUCGAAAGUUUUCGUAUAUUUCAAUUUGAUUUCAAACAAAAGCGACCUCAA